GCGGGAAAGUAGCUUGCUACUUUUGCCGGCGAGCGGCGGACGGGUGAGUAAUGCCUGGGAAAUUGCCCAGUCGAGGGGGAUAACAGUUGGAAACGACUGCUAAUACCGCAUACGCCCUACGGGGGAAAGCAGGGGACCUUCGGGCCUUGCGCGAUUGGAUAUGCCCAGGUGGGAUUAGCUUGUUGGUGAGGUAAUGGCUCACCAAGGCGACGAUCCCUAGCUGGUCUGAGAGGAUGAUCAGCCACACUGGAACUGAGACACGGUCCAGACUCCUACGGGAGGCAGCAGUGGGGAAUAUUGCACAAUGGGGGAAACCCUGAUGCAGCCAUGCCGCGUGUGUGAAGAAGGCCUUCGGGUUGUAAAGCACUUUCAGCGAGGAGGAAAGGUUGGUA
rnacentral:rRNA from 1 species